AUGAGUUAUAAAGGCAGUAAGGCAAGAUGGGAGGAAAGAGAUCAUCCAUGUCUCUCUUUGCCUCUUUGUCUCUGUCAUUCUCUGCCUCUUUCUGUCGAUCUGUCUUUCUAUGUCUCUCUUUCUGUCUCUUGGACUCUCUGGCUCUAUCUCUCUGUCUCUGUCAUUGCCUUUCUCUUUCUCUCUAGCCUUCUCUGUGUCUCUUUCUGUCUGUCUCUGUUUCACUGUCUCUCUGUCUUUCUCUGCCCCCCUCUCUCUCUAUUUGUGGAAUUGGAGAAGAGGGUCAUGAGGAUGCUUGUUUCAGCUAUGGAGGAUCUAGGAGGCAAGAGGCUUGAUUUCAGAAACAAACUUCCUAACCAUUACAAUUAUCUACAAGAUGAUUGGCUUGCCUCAUGAGAUAAGGAAGCUGAGAUAAAAUGACCUGCCCCAGCCUUUGAAUCAAGAGAGUGACACAACAGGGACUCCAGUCUAGAUCUUCUGUCAUUUUAAGUACAUCUCUGUUGAGAACCUCAUUUUUAAGUGCACAAGUUUCCUAGCCCCCCAAUACUUUGCCUACCAAAAAAUUAGGUCUUUAGAACUGGGAUCAGUUUUAUUGCUAACAAUCCCACUGCUAGGCAUGUACUCUCAAGGAAACAAGUGACAAAAAGACAAUCCAAUAAAUGCCAAAAUAUCCACA
rnacentral:lncRNA from 1 species